rnacentral:rRNA from 1 species
GGUUUUCGGAUCGUAAAGCUCUGUUGUUAGGGAAGAACAAGUGCCGUUCAAAUAGGGCGGCACCUUGACGGUACCUAACCAGAAAGCCACGGCUAACUACGUGCCAGCAGCCGCGGUAAUACGUAGGUGGCAAGCGUUGUCCGGAAUUAUUGGGCGUAAAGGGCUCGCAGGCGGUUUCUUAAGUCUGAUGUGAAAGCCCCCGGCUCAACCGGGGAGGGUCAUUGGAAACUGGGGAACUUGAGUGCAGAAGAGGAGAGUGGAAUUCCACGUGUAGCGGUGAAAUGCGUAGAGAUGUGGAGGAACACCAGUGGCGAAGGCGACUCUCUGGUCUGUAACUGACGCUGAGGAGCGAAAGCGUGGGGAGCGAACAGGAUUAGAUACCCUGGUAGUCCACGCCGUAAACGAUGAGUGCUAAGUGUUAGGGGGUUUCCGCCCCUUAGUGCUGCAGCUAACGCAUUAAGCACUCCCCCCGUGGGGG